rnacentral:rRNA from 1 species
UCUUCCCUCUGGCGGCGUGCCUAAUACAUGCAAGUCGAACGCUUCACUUCGGUGAAGAGUGGCGAACGGGUGAGUAAUACAUAAGUAACCUGGCAUCUACAGGGGGAUAACUGAUGGAAACGUCAGCUAAGACCGCAUAGGUGUAGAGAUCGCAUGAACUCUAUAUGAAAGGUGCUACGGGACUGGUAGAUGAUGGACUUAUGGCGCAUUAGCUUGUUGGUAGGGUAACGGCCUACCAAGGCGACGAUGCGUAGCCGACCUGAGAGGGUGACCGGCCACACUGGGACUGAGACAUGGCCCAGACUCCUACGGGAGGCAGCAGUAGGGAAUUUUCGGCAAUGGGGGAAACCCUGACCGAGCAACGCCGCGUGAAGGAAGAAGUAAUUCGUUAUGUAAACUUCUGUCAUAGAGGAAGAACGGUGGAUAUAGGGAAUGAUAUCCAAGUGACGGUACUCUAUAAGAAAGCCACGGCUAACUACGUG